CCCAAGCAGCCCAUGAGCUGAAGGUGUCAAGCCUGUUGGACUAGGAGACAUCCAUGCUCCCAAUGUGAGACUUGGUGCUCAGCUGGGCAACUUUGCUUCUGGAGUCCCAGAUGAUGUUGGAGAGGAAGUUCCUGUGGGUUCUGG